UUUCCUGAAUUAUGACAAUCCAUUAUCUCUCCUUUAUUUUUAUACUCUAUUUUCUCUCUCCUCCAUCUCCCUCCUUCUCUCUCCUUCCCAACUCAAAAUCAAUGCUAAAAUUCGUCAAAAUACAUAGAGAUUUGGUUCAAUCUUCAUCGAUUUCGAUGUUAGCUUCAAAAAAGUGAUUUUUUCAUUUAUGAUUUGUGUUUAAUUUGCUAUAUUCUACGAUUUUUGGGGGAAAUCAAAUUGAUACGAUUGUGAUUUCGAUUAAAUUAAAAAAAAAUAAACCUAGAAUAUAUUGUGUUGAUUACAAAAUUAGAGGUGUUAGAACUAUGAGUCUGUGCAAUUAAUUGGAAAAAUGGUGUGGAUUGUUGAUGAAUUAAGUAUAAAUUUUUUAAGGGGGGUUGAAAGUGAAGAAAAAAUGGUGGUAAGUGUGAUUGAAAUUGCUUUUCCAAUGGAGGUAUAACAAUGGUGGUGUAGAGGUUAGUCAAAUUGAAAAUCGGCAACAGUGGAACAUGGCAAAACACGAGAACUUGCUGAACAACGCUGUCCAAACAACUGCGGGUUUUACUAAGCUUGUUGCUGAUUAUAGCCUCUAUACUAAGGUGUUUGUAAGCCGAUUUCUCUAUGGUUGUAGCAUGGAUUCGACCUACUAUGGGUGUCACAAAGGUAAAUGUGGAUGCGCAUUUUGGGCAGCAAAUAUGUGGGCCUUGGUGUUGUUGCUUGUGAUGAGAAGGCAGAGGAAGCAGAAUAGUUAUCUUGGAGGAUGCAGAAGCCGCGGCAGCAAGGUAUGGAGUUCAAGUGGCUCGUAGAUUGGGUGUUGCUUGACUUUGGUUGGAGGUUACCAUCAAAAUUGAUAUAGGAAUCUUGUUUUUGUAUAGUGACCUUUAUAGUUACCCUACUUUUGUAUAAUAGUGACUUCUAUGAGAAUAUGGUCAAAAU